AACGAACGCUGGCGGCAGGCUUAACACAUGCAAGUCGAACGCCCCGCAAGGGGAGUGGCAGACGGGUGAGUAACGCGUGGGAACAUACCCUUUCCUGCGGAAUAGCUCUGGGAAACUGGAAUUAAUACCGCAUACGCCCUACGGGGGAAAGAUUUAUCGGGGAAGGAUUGGCCCGCGUUGGAUUAGCUAGUUGGUGGGGUAAAGGCCUACCAAGGCGACGAUCCAUAGCUGGUCUGAGAGGAUGAUCAGCCACAUUGGGACUGAGACACGGCCCAAACUCCUACGGGAGGCAGCAGUGGGGAAUAUUGGACAAUGGGCGCAAGCCUGAUCCAGCCAUGCCGCGUGAGUGAUGAAGGCCUUAGGGUUGUAAAGCUCUUUCACCGAUGAAGAUAAUGACGGUAGUCGGGGAAGAAGCCCCGGCUAACUUCGUGCCGGCAGCCGCCGCGGUAA
rnacentral:rRNA from 1 species